rnacentral:rRNA from 1 species
UGGGGAAUUUUGGACAAUGGGGGAAACCCUGAUCCAGCCAUCCCGCGUGUGCGAUGAAGGCCUUCGGGUUGUAAAGCACUUUUGGCAGGAAAGAAACGUCGCGGGUUAAUACCCCGCGAAACUGACGGUACCUGCAGGAUAAGCACCGGCUAACUACGUGCCAGCAGCCGCGGUAAUACGUAGGGUGCAAGCGUUAAUCGGAAUUACUGGGCGUAAAGCGUGCGCAGGCGGUUCGGAAAGAAAGAUGUGAAAUCCCAGAGCUUAACUUUGGAACUGCAUUUUUUAACUACCGGGCUAGAGUGUGUCAGAGGGAGGUGGAAUUCCGCGUGUAGCAGUGAAAUGCGUAGAUAUGCGGAGGAACACCGAUGGCGAAGGCAGCCUCCUGGGAUAACACUGACGCUCAUGCACGAAAGCGUGGGGAGCAAACAGGAUUAGAUACCCUGGUAGUCCACGCCCUAAACGAUGUCAACUAGCUGUUGGGGCCUUCGGGCCUUGGUAGCGCAGCUAACGCGUGAGGUUGACCGCCUGGGGAGUACGGUC